rnacentral:misc_RNA from 1 species
AACCAUAGAAACCUGCGGAGUACCUGCGGAAGGAUCAUUAAAAAAAGAAUCGCAAGAUUCUAUUUUUUAAGAGCUUUACUACUACUUUUUUGUAGGAGUAGAGCUUUUUCCACACUCUGUAAUAUUAAAUCGUCUUUUGACGAAAAUCUAUAAAUAAUAAUAAAUAAAACUUUUAACAACGGAUCU